UCCAUUCUAAUCUCACGAUGUCAUGCAAUA
rnacentral:piRNA from 1 species